rnacentral:rRNA from 1 species
CACGUAGUUAGCCGUGGCUUUCUGAUUAGGUACCGUCAAGACGUGUAUAGUUACUUACACAUUUGUUCUUCCCUAAUAACAGAGUUUUACGAUCCGAAGACCUUCAUCACUCACGCGGCGUUGCUCCGUCAGGCUUUCGCCCAUUGCGGAAGAUUCCCUACUGCUGCCUCCCGUAGGAGUCUGGACCGUGUCUCAGUUCCAGUGUGGCCGAUCACCCUCUCAGGUCGGCUACGCAUCGUUGCCUUGGUAAGCCGUUACCUUACCAACUAGCUAAUGCGGCGCGGAUCCAUCUAUAAGUGACAGCAAAACCGUCUUUCACUAUUGAACCAUGCGGUUCAAUAUAUUAUCCGGUAUUAGCUCCGGUUUCCCGAAGUUAUCCCAGUCUUAUAGGUAGGUUAUCCACGUGUUACUCACCCGUCCGCCGCUAACGUCAGAGGAGCAAGCUCCUCGUCUGUUCGCUUGACUUGCAUGUAUUAGGCACGCCGCCAGCCGUUUCAUCCUGACGCCUAGGA